GGGGCUGAACGGUUUCGACUUCGCGCAUCGAAUCAAGGGAAGCGUGCCGGUGCAGGCAAGAGACCACCGUAAGCGUCGUUGCGACCAAAUAAGCGCCGAUUCACAUCAGCGCGACUACGCUCUCGCUGCCUAAGCGACGGCUAGUCUGUCAGACCGGGAACGCCCUCGGCCCGGCCCCUGGCAUCAGCUAGAGGGAUCCACCGAUGAGUCCGGUCGCGGGACUCCUCGGGACAACCACAGCGACUGGGAUCGUCAUCUCGGCUAGUUCGCGUGACCGGGAGAUCCGAGCAGAGGCAUAGCGAACUGCGCACGGAGAAGCCUUGAGGGAAUGCCGUAGGACCCGGGUUCGAUUCCCGGCAGCUCCACC
rnacentral:tmRNA from 1 species